UACAGGGGGGGCAAGCGUUGUUCGGAAUUACUGGGCGUAAAGGGCUCGUAGGCGGCCAACUAAGUCACACGUGAAAUCCCCAGGCUCAACCUGGGAACUGCGUGUGAUACUGGAUGGCUUGAAUUCGGGAGAGGGAUGCAGAAUUCCAGGUGUAGCGGUGAAAUGCGUAGAUAUCUGGAGGAAUACCGGUGGCGAAGGCGGCAUCCUGGACCGACAUUGACGCUGAGGAGCGAAAGCCAGGGGAGCAAACGGG
rnacentral:rRNA from 1 species